rnacentral:rRNA from 1 species
AUUGAACGCUGGCGGCAUGCCUUACACACGCAAGUCGAACGGCAGCACGGGAGCAAUCCUGGUGGCGAGUGGCGAACGGGUGAGUAAUAUAUCGGAACGUGCCCAGUCGUGGGGGAUAACGCAGCGAAAGCUGGGCUAAUACCGCAUACGAUCUAAGGAUGAAAGCGGGGGAGCGCAAGACCUGGCGCGAUGCGAGCGGCCGAUAUCAGGUUAGCUAGUUGGUGGGGUAAAGGCCCACCAGGGCGACGAUCUGUAGCUGGUCUGAGAGGACGAACAGCCACACUGGAACGGGGACACGGUCCAGACUCCUACGGGAGGCAGCAGUGGGGAAUUUUGGACAAUGGGCGCAAGCCUGAUCCAGCAAUGCCGCGUGCAGGAUGAAGGCCUUCGGGUUGUAAACUGCUUUUGUACGGAACGAAACGGCCCUUUCUAAUACAGGGGCUAAUGACGGUACCGUAAGAAUAAGCACCGGCUAACUACGUGCCAGCAGCCGCCGUAAAAC